rnacentral:rRNA from 1 species
CAGUGCCAUUGCCCUAGUAACGGCGAGUGAAGCGGCAACAGCUCAAAUUUGAAAGCUAGCCUUCGGGUUCGCAUUGUAAUUUGUAGAGGAUGCUUUGGGUAAAACGCCAGUCUAAGUUCCUUGGAACAGGACGUCAUAGAGGGUGAGAAUCCCGUAUGUGACUGGAAAUGUUAACCUAUGUAAAGCUCCUUCGACGAGUCGAGUUGUUUGGGAAUGCAGCUCUAAAUGGGAGGUAAAUUUCUUCUAAAGCUAAAUAUUGGCGAGAGACCGAUAGCGCACAAGUAGAGUGAUCGAAAGAUGAAAAGCACUUUGGAAAGAGAGUUAAAAAGCACGUGAAAUUGUUGAAAGGGAAGCGCUUGCAAUCAGAACUUGUUUAAACUGUUCGGCCGGUCUUCUGACCGGUUUACUCAGUUUGGACAGGCCAGCAUCAGUUUCGGCGGCCGGAUAAAGGCAUUGGGAAUGUGGCCUUCACUUCGGUGGAGGUGUUAUAGCCCAGUGUGUAAUACGGCCAGCCGGGACUGAGGUCCGCGCUUCGGCUAGGAUGCUGACACGAAUGCUUGUAAGGGACCUGUCUUAAAAC